UACGAAGGGGGCUAGCGUUGUUCGGAAUCACUGGGCGUAAAGGGCGCGUAGGCGGCUUUAUAAGUCGGGGGUGAAAGCCUGUGGCUCAACCACAGAAUUGCCUUCGAUACUGUAGAGCUUGAGACCGGAAGAGGUAAGUGGAACUGCGAGUGUAGAGGUGAAAUUCGUAGAUAUUCGCAAGAACACCAGUGGCGAAGGCGGCUUACUGGUCCGGUUCUGACGCUGAGGAGCGAAAGCAUGGGUAGCGAACAGG
rnacentral:rRNA from 1 species